AGUGAACGCUGGCGGUAGGCCUAACACAUGCCAGUCGAACGGCAGCACAGUAAGAGCUUCCUCUUACGGGUGGCGAGUGGCGGACGGGUGAGGAAUACAUCGGAAUCUACUUUUUCGUGGGGGAUAACGUAGGGAAACUUACGCUAAUACCGCAUACGACCUACGGGUGAAAGCAGGGGAUCUUCGGACCUUGCGCGAUUGAAUGAGCCGAUGUCGGAUUAGCUAGUUGGCGGGGUAAAGGCCCACCAAGGCGACGAUCCGUAGCUGGUCUGAGAGGAUGAUCAGCCACACUGGAACUGAGACACGGUCCAGACUCCUACGGGAGGCAGCAGUGGGGAAUAUUGGACAAUGGGCGCAAGCCUGAUCCAGCCAUACCGCGUGGGUGAAGAAGGCCUUCGGGUUGUAAAGCCCUUUUGUUGGGAAAGAAAAGCAGCAGGUUAAUACCCCGCUGUUCUGACGGUACCCAAAGAAUAAGCACCGGCUAACUUCGUG
rnacentral:rRNA from 1 species